UACGUAGGGUGCGAGCGUUGUCCGGAAUUAUUGGGCGUAAAGAGCUUGUAGGCGGUUUGUCGCGUCUGCUGUGAAAUCUCAAGGCUCAACCUUGAGCUUGCAGUGGGUACGGGCAGACUAGAGUGUGGUAGGGGAGACUGGAAUUCCUGGUGUAGCGGUGAAAUGCGCAGAUAUCAGGAGGAACACCGGUGGCGAAGGCGGGUCUCUGGGCCGAUAUUGACGCUGGAGGAGCGAAAGCGUGGGGAGCGAACAGG
rnacentral:rRNA from 1 species